rnacentral:rRNA from 1 species
CUACGGGACGCAGCAGUGGGGAAUAUUGGACAAUGGGGGAAACCCUGAUCCAGCAAUGCCGCGUGUGUGAAGAAGGCCUGCGGGUUGUAAAGCACUUUCGGUUGGGAGGACUGCUUCUAGCACUAAUAUUGUUGGAAGUUGACGUUACCUUCAGAAGAAGCACCGGCUAACUCCGUGCCAGCAGCCGCGGUAAUACGGAGGGUGCACGCGUUAAUCGGAAUUACUGGGCGUAAAGCGCGCGUAGGCGGCUAGAGCAGUGGGUGUGAAAGCCCCGGGCUUAACCUGGGAACUGCAUCCGAUAAUGUCUAGCUUGAGUACAGGAGAGGAGAGUGGAAUUCCACAUGUAGCGGUGAAAUGCGUAGAUAUGUGGAGGAACACCAAUGGCGAAGGCAGCUCUCUGGCCUGAUACUGACGCUGAGGUGCGAAAGCGUGGGGAGCAAACAGGAUUAGAUACCCCCGUAGUC